AGAAGAAAAUCCGCCGUGUAAAAUGAAAGAAAUGUGUUCGAUGUCAAAGGUUUCAGACACUACAAGAUACCAAAGUUUACUAACUUAAAUACGACCUCAAAGCAAUAAAUCGUUUGUAUUUGUUUCGCGUCGAUGUCAAAAUGAAAAGAAUUUCACAAUCAACAGUAAUAGUUAAAAACUAAAAUGUUCAAUGAGACCAUAAACCUAUUUUUAAGCUAGAGGCCAUUUGAAUAAUUGAACUGUUCCCCCAUUUUAAAAAAAUGUUUAUAGAGAACAAAAGUGGAACUUUUAAAUCUGACCGAUCUGUGUUUAUUUAAUAGACACUGAAUAGUCAUAAAAUUUUCAUGUCGACAUAUGAAAAGCUUUUCAAACUGUUUAAUUUUAACGGUUUAUGUAGGAUUAAUAGAAUCCCAAUAUUCAAACUUUUAAGGACACCCGGCUAACUUAAGAAUGAAUUAAAUUUGGGUUCUUAUCCAGCACCGUAUCGGGUAAUCUACUACAAACGUUAACUAAUCGUCAUAAAAACGAAAAUGUAGUAAGCACACUGAGUUGCAUGUGCAAGAGUAAGUUCUUUCAAAAGUAUUUGGUUCCCUUUAUGAAACAAUUCAUUCGAGAAUUUUACCAGAGUUCCGGGAAAAAUUAAUCACCGUGUCAACUAUGAUAUCUUUAUUGCCACGACACAAUUGAGUAGUGAAAUGAAAUAGGAUUCGCAUACUAUCUCGAUCGAUAAGGAAAAAAAAAUGAGUCGAGUGAUUCGAUUACCCAAGAUGUUCCUUCGCUCAUUCAUUCAAUGGAAUUCAAAAGCCAAGAAACAUAUUCCAAAGGAGUUAUGGAUUUUGAGCAAAGUUUAGAUUCCAUCUCCAUACUCGUAGCUUUUUCUUUCAAAAGUGACUCUUCAAAUCUCUUUUCAAGUUCUUCAGAAGAAUAAGAGACCAAGACAUUGUUUAAAAGCUUAACGUCUUGUUUGAAACCAAGUAUUUCGUUUUGCAGUUGCUCUUGUUGCACGUUCAAAUUACUUCGAAAACGGUCCAAAUCCUUCCUCGCCUGCAAUAACUGUUCGUAUUUGUUUUUAUUCCUUUCCUGUAGUUCUCGAAUUUCUCGAAUCCUUCUCCUUAAUGGAAUAGACUCUUGAAGUGUCCAAAAGUACGACUCUAAGACUUCUUCAUCUUCCUUCGACAUUAGCGUAAACUCAAGAAAUGCUAGCUA